rnacentral:rRNA from 1 species
UACGGGGGGGGCAAGCGUUGUUCGGAAUUACUGGGCGUAAAGGGCUCGUAGGUGGCCAACUAAGUCAGACGUGAAAUCCCUCAGCUUAACUGGGGAACUGCGUCUGAUACUGGAUGGCUUGAGAUUGGGAGAGGGACGCGGAAUUCCAGGUGUAGCGGUGAAAUGCGUGGAUAUCUGGAGGAACACCGGUGGCGAAGGCGGCGUCCUGGACCAACACUGACACUGAGGCGCGAAAGCUAGGGGAGCAAACGGG